UUUGUAAUGUCCAAGACAUUGUAUUUAUUUGUAAUAAAUGUGGCUAAAUUUUUAAUAAUGUUCAUUGAAAACAUAAUGCGUAUUAGGCCAUAAUAAUAUUUUGGUCUUCGAUACGCCCUGCUUUACCGACCUUUUUCAAUUUGAUAACGUUGAUGCGGCUGAAGACAACAGCCUGAUUUCAGAACUGUUAUGCUGUUAAGCCUUAAGUAUAUUUUAAGUAAAAAUACUCAUUUCAUCACUUACCAUACUAUUCAUGUGCGACCCGCAUCCAAAAAUAUUGCCUUCAACGAAAGAGUUGUUCAGAUAGUUAAAUCUACGUUUAGUUUAAGGUACUACUAGGUGCGCAGCAGAAAGUGCUGUUCAUGUCGUCAGCCCUUACACAAGAUUGAAACAAUAUUUUCAAGAGUACAAGACGAUUCCCUAGUUGGAUAAAAUGUGUAUCGCACGGAUUUUAGUUAUAGCGGCAGCUGAGAGAAAUCAAAAACAUUAAUACUAAUUUAAACAAACGCCUCCAACGAAAUCUCAGUGCCGGUUUAUUGCUGUAGCGGAGAUAACGGUAGGAGGUGUUCGAUAGAAACCAAAAAUGAAGGAUCUUAACAGAAGGACUUGGGUAGGAGAUCGAAAACGAUAUGAGAAGUGUAAUUCAGGUAAGUUUUCUUUGCAGUGAUGCUUUAUCAGGAAUAAUCCCGCACAAUAUAUCACUCGCAUACAGUAAGUAAAGUUAUUGUGAGCGGCAAAACAUCUAAUAUUGAUGGAGAUGGCAAUUCAAUGUGGGAAAAUUAGUAAAUUCAUAUGGAAGUAAUAAUAG